ACCAAUUCUGGGGGAUAAUUAAUUCCUCUUGGUAUAAUGGCUAGGGUGCGAUAACCUAAUUUUGUGGCUUAUCCUGAUUAAUGGCUUCUUCUGUGUCAUCUAAUCCUGGAAACACCACAUACAUUU
rfam:Jatropha curcas cultivar GZQX0401 scaffold749_31, whole genome shotgun sequence.